CGGCCCCAUAUAAGAGUAUAGGUAAAACAGCUUUGUCAAACAUAUCGAGCUGGCAUUCUAUAGAUAGAUGGUUUGAUCUACACUUCUUAAUAUAUAUCACAAUACAUAGCUCUAGUAGCUUGAUCUCUAAGAUAUUUUCUAGUUGCAAAAAAGAUGUUUUCACAAUAUUGAGAAAAACUAUUUAGAAGUAAUUGCAAAUCUGUGCUUGUCUCAGCGAGUAAAAUCGAGUCGCCAGCAUACAAUAAGACAAAUAUCUUAAAGUAAAUAUCCAGUUCAUCUUCU
rnacentral:lncRNA from 1 species